CUUUAUGGCGGGCGGUGCGUGGCAGCCGCAAGGCUGGCCGGUCGUUGUUCGGUACGCCAACCACGCACCGUCCGUCACCUGG
rnacentral:antisense_RNA from 1 species